rnacentral:rRNA from 1 species
UACGUAGGGGGCAAGCGUUGUCCGGAAUUAUUGGGCGUAAAGAGCGCGUAGGCGGUCCGAUAAGUCGGCUGUGAAAGUCAUGGGCUCAACCCAUGAAAGCCGGCCGAUACUGUCGGACUAGAGUCCGGAAGAGGCGAGUGGAAUUCCCGGUGUAGCGGUGAAAUGCGUAGAUAUCGGGAAGAACACCAGUGGCGAGAGCGCUCUACUGGGCCAUAACUGACACUGAGGGACGAAAGCUAGGGGAGCGAAAGGG